GCGGGAGUAUCAGCUGGCUGGCUGGAGCUGGCCAAGCCCCUCCUCUCCUCCUCCUGCUUCCCCCUCCAUCCAGGCUCCACCGGGAACCUGUCCCAGACGCCUACCCCGCCUGAGCCAGAGGAAGGGAGGAAAACAAUAGCAAAAACCAGGACCCUUCGGACUUGCCGCUGAAUGGGGAUUUUCGUCGGAUGUUGAGUUUACCUGGAAUGCCCCGGUGUUAUUUUGGGAAGGCAGACAUCCCACGGAAACAAUGAAGUGGAAAAGAAAACAGCUAAAGCAAAAUCUAGAGCCCAGUUUUUGCCAAACCAGCCCCACGUGGGCUGGGCAGGCUCUGGAAGCCCAAGUCAGGCCGAUGAAGAGCGGCUGAGGCCGUGGGGAUCUGGUUUACCAGGAGGGCACAUGGAGGAUGCAAGAAAAGGAAGAGCCGUAUUCAAGUCCCCACUUCAGUGAUGAGGCAGAAAGACCCUGCGCCUGACCACGUGGGAACAGCCUGCAGUGAGCGGUGACGCCGCCUGGCUUGAGCUAAGUGCUGGGCUCCACCAUUCAUUGGCUGAGUGACCUUAGAUGAGAAGAGAAUGAGCCAUGUGUUUCCUGAAACAUCCAGUGGCCUCACCGGAGAAUCUGCAAGAGCCGGUAAACCCAGAAGCUUGGCCGUCCAUUCCUGGAAGCAGACAUUGUGUCUUCGUCCACCAAGCCCCUGGCUCUCAACACUCACUGUGGUGGCAAGAACAUGGCACCUUGACCCUACACAGUUCUUCCAUUUUUCAGAAGCAGGUGAGCACAGAUUGCUGGGAUGGAGUGAGUAAAAGAUAUAAACUGGACUGGGCACGGUUGCUCGCACCUGUAAUCCCAGCACUUUGGGAGGCCGAAGCGGGCGGAUCGCUUGAGCUCAGGAGUUCGAGAUUAGUCUAGGCAACAUAGUGAGAAGCUAUCUUAAAAAAAAUUUAAAUAAAAGUUAUAAACCAAGGCUUGGGGUUUCUGGGUGCUUUGCCAGGACCUGUUCUUGGGCAGAACUGAAUAUAUACUCAAUUCUGAGGAGGGAAGAGGAAGGUCAUGGCUAAAAGGUAGGCUCUGAAAUCAGACUCCCGGAGCUCAAAUCCCAGCACUCUCUGCUUGCCACUUAGACUUCAGGUAGGGGAGGGGGAUAUAAAUGUUUGAGCCUCAGUCCCCUCCUCUGUAAAAUGGGGGCAGUAAAUGUACUGCACACAGCUGCAAGGUGUGAAUGAGGCGAUGCACGUAAAACACAGUGCCUAUAGUAUCACAUUGGGGUUUUUUGGUGUUUUUUGUUUUUGUUUUUGUUUUUUUGACAGAGGGUCUCACUCUGUCACCCAGGCUGGAGUGCAAUGGAGUGAUCUCAGCUCACUGCAGCCUUGACCUCCUGGGCUCAACCACUUUUCCCACCUCUGCCUUCAAAGUAGCUGGGACUAUAGCCAUGUGCUACCACGCCCAGCUAAUUUUUGCAUUUUUUUGUAGAGAUGGGGUUUCACCAUAUUGCCCAGGCUGGUCUAGAACUCCUGAGCUCGAGUGAUCCACCCGCCUCGACCUCCCAAAGUGCUGGGAUUACAGACGUGUGCCACCAUGCUCAGCCCCACACUCGUCUUUAAGAAAAUUAAAAUAAAAUUGUUUUAAACACAGUGUCUGGCACAGAAUAGAUGCUCAAUAAACACCAGCUGCUACAAUUAGAGGGGAAAUCAUCAUAAUUGUUGGAUUAAAACAUAAUAAAAGACCCCAGUUGCCUUGUUCAAGGCAGUAUUUUCAGAAGCAAAGUUUUAAAAGUUUAAAAAGAGGUCAGUAUUUUAAGUCAUGUCAGCUCCACAGCCACGGAAGUGCUGGAAAGGCACCAAGCCUCCUCUCGGUUUGCAGUGAAACGCUCCUCUUCCGUCUGAGGGCUAUCGUUCCAGCAGAGAUCAACACAAUGGACUCUGGGAUGGACAUUGUUCUCCAACAGGCCUGGCCCUGGCCCAGCUGGGGUGAGCAUUUCCUUUGCAGCAUUCCAAGAGGCGACAGUCCCAAAAGAUAAUUAAAAAUCAGCUAGCGGUGGUGACCAAGAGAAAGGCACUGAGCCCUCCGAGUGUGGAGAUAGGGCAUCCCGGGUUAUUAAUUAAGUGUGCUCACAUUUGCAUGGUGUAGAGGACAAUUAUCAAGCUGGAGCUGUCAGCUUUAAAUGCUGUUUGCAUUUCUGGAUGACUUUUUGGCGAAGAGGGUCAGGGAGGCUCUCUAAAGUCAUUUUUGGGAGUCUGGAGGAAUAGUUAGCAAUUCGCACUUCACCUCGUUUUACCCUGCAACUCCAUGGAAAUUCCAGAAAGUCUUGGUUUUAAUGGUCUCUUGCAUAGGCCCAUGACAUGGGUCAUCUCUCUCCUACCUCCUUCCAUGCUGAACAAAUGGAAAGGCAUGUAACAUAGUGUGGCAAGGACUUAGGAGUCCAGAAGCUCCCAGAUGUGUGCACCUGUGGAAUCCGCCACCACACCCUCCACACACCAGCCUCUGCAACCAGACAGAGAGAGGAGAGGUAAGGGGUGAGGAUGUGAUUGAUUUCCAUCCUCGGCCCUCCAAGGAGGAGGCUGCCAAAGAAAACAAAGGCCACUGCAGGGGGGCAGCUCGUGGUGACAACCUGCACUGGGGCCGGAGGGCAGCCAGCAUGGCACCUGGAUCUGAUCAAGAUGAAGUUUUCAUCCCCAUCUGCCUGUUAAUGUCUUCUUUACCAGUUGCCACCCCCUAAUAAGGGGUAUGCCGUAGACUGGAAGUCACUAGGGACCUGCCCAGCAUCCUGUUCUAGGCAUUGACUAAUCCACUCUCCUACAUCCUGCCUCCCAUCCACAUGGUCCAAUCAGAGGCUGCCAUGCUUGCACAAUGUGACACUGUCUCUAUGGACACAUUAAUUGGUCCUGAUGUAGAACUUGACCCAAGAUCAGGGUCAAGUUGAGAGAAGACUUAUUUUCUUUCCAGGUGUUUCAAUAACAUGUAAAACUUGGAAUUCGAUAGCAGCCAUCUUCUGCCAUGAGAAUUGGGAAGAGAGAAAGCCUAUAGUGAUAAUAAAGUCAAAU
rnacentral:lncRNA from 1 species